AAUAAAGUUUNNACGUGUGGAAUUUUGUAUGUACCAUAUGAAUAAGGAUCGGCUAANUCCGUGCCAGCAGCCGCGGUAAUACGGAGGAUCCGAGCGUUAUCCGGAUUUAUUGGGUUUAAAGGGAGCGUAGGUGGACAGUUAAGUCAGUUGUGAAAGUUUGCGGCUCAACCGUAAAAUUGCAGUUGAUACUGGCUGUCUUGAGUACAGUAGAGGUGGGCGGAAUUCGUGGUGUAGCGGUGAAAUGCUUAGAUAUCACGAAGAACUCCGAUUGCGAAGGCAGCUCACUGGACUGCAACUGACACUGAUGCUCGAAAGUGUGGGUAUCAAACAGGAUUAGAUACCCUGGUAGUCCACACAGUAAACGAUGAAUACUCGCUGUUUGCGAUAUACAGUAAGCGGCCAAGCGAAAGCAUUAAGUAUUCCACCUGGGGAGUACGCCGGCAACGGUGAAACUCAAAGGAAUUGACGGGGGCCCGCACAAGCGGAGGAACAUGUGGUUUAAUUCGAUGAUACGCGAGGAACCUUACCCGGGCUUAAAUUGCAUUUGAAUAUUUUGGAAACAGUAUAGCCGUAAGGCAAAUGUGAAGGUGCUGCAUGGUUGUCGUCAGCUCGUGCCGUGAGGUGUCGGCUUAAGUGCCAUAACGAGCGCAACCCUUAUCUUUAGUUACUAACAGGUCAUGCUGAGGACUCUAGAGAGACUGCCGUCGUAAGAUGUGAGGAAGGUGGGGAUGACGUCAAAUCAGCACGGCCCUUACGUCCGGGGCUACACACGUGUUACAAUGGGGGGUACAGAAGGCAGCUACCUGGUGACAGGAUGCUAAUCCCAAAAGCCUCUCUCAGUUCGGAUCGAAGUCUGCAACCCGACUUCGUGAAGCUGGAUUCGCUAGUAAUCGCGCAUCAGCCAUGGCGCGGUGAAUACGUUCCCGGGCCUUGUACACACCGCCCGUCAAGCCAUGAAAGCCGGGGGUACCUGAAGUACGUAACCGCAAGAAGGCGGCUNUCUGGACNNUAACUGACG
rnacentral:rRNA from 1 species